AAAGUCGCGGUUCCGGUGUUCAGGAUGCCAGGGAUGAUGGGAAGCCUGUUCUUGUUUAUCGGAAAACAUCUGAGCCCAUGAAUUGCCAGACCCUGGAUACCUGAGACACAUCCACUUGCUUCUCAGGUUUGGAGUGCAUAAUGAGGAGAAAUAAAAACAGAAAGAUCUCCAGAAAGAAGCCAUGGUAAGAUUCAAGGUUUCACAGUCCAAGCUAAUGCCUGUGGACACUUGACCAAGUGAUCUGAGAAAAUUGGAUUUCUGGCAAAACAAGUGUACCUAGACUCAGGCAAGGGUGGAGAACAGAGGGCGACUAGAUUAAAUGGAAAGAAUGCCCAGGCAUCCCAUUGCCUCCCUUUGACGUUCCAGAACUUCAUCAAGACAGUGAUGAGCUACAUGUACACCUGGAGGAGGACCAUGCAGAAUACCAUCCAGCGCCAUGAACACUAGUCAGUCAGUCAGUAAUGGUGGGCUUCUUGGUGUGCUCCAGCUCAAUUUUCUCAUGUUUGAUGAUUAGUUCAGGAUCAAGCUCAGAAGCGCACAGCUGCCAGCAAGCAGUCUACUACUGAACUGCACCAUCUCUCCAGCCUGUGCUUACUCUUGAAUAGCCCCAAAGUAGUCAAUGGUGUGGGCCCUGAAAGGAACUGUAUACCUGCUCUGCCCAUGACUGCUUCUGCCUCUACCUCAAUGUACUGUAACUGUUUAACAAGGUUGCUCUGGCUCAGGCUGAGAAAUUGACUCCACCCUUACCCUGACGCCUGGCAUGUCCACAUGUGGUCCUGUGUAGUCAGCAACCCCAGGGCUAUUUGGUACUGGACAACCAAUUGGAGUGUUGUUUGCGGGGGAGGACCACCUCUCCAGGUAGAAUCUAAACAUCAGAAAAUCAACAACCCAGUUAAAAUAAUCUAGAGCACUAACCAGAGCGUUCUCAGAAGAAGCACUACAAACGGCUAAGAAACACGAGACUGCUCAACAUCCUUUGCCAUCAGGGAAACACAGAAGCUCACUUUUCAGUUUUCAUCUUUCUGGAGUCAGAAUGGUUAUCGUCAAGAAUGCCAGUGACAUGGAUGUAGAGGACGGAUUCCUUCAUUGUCUAAGUCUCUGGAAAUAGUGCAGAAGAGUAGUCAGGGACUAAAAGAUGGAAGACAGAAAGGGCUGCAAAGUUCCAUCCUAGAGACUCAAUACAGCCAUUGCAAUGAUGAACUCACAAAAACUGCAUUUACCUGAACUUAGCCUGCUCAAGACAUUGAAAGUGUUUCAAAGUAGCUUUUCCUGUUGUGAAUGUACCUCUCAGCUAGUCUGGUUUCUGGUUCAGAGCUCUUAGGCACAGAGUUGUCUUGAACAUUUGCUUACAGGCACUUGUGUAGAUAUCAGCUGCUUUUUUUUGUUAAAUCUCUGAAAUAAAUGCCUAGGCGUUCAAUGGCAAUGUUAUAUCAGUAUGUAUUUAGCUUAGUUUUAAAAUAAGAAACUGUCAAAUACUUUUGUAGAAUUACUGGACCAUUUUACACCCCUGCCAACAAAGUAAGAUUGAUCCAGCUCCCCACAUUCUCAUAAACAUUUGUUUUUGUUUCUUUAAGAAGACAAGUUAACCAUUCCAUUUAUUGAGAAUUUACUUACCAUUCAGUGCAUUGCUUAGAUAUGUAGUAUUCAGUUUUUAGUACACAUACAAGGUUGUGUAUCGAUUACUACUAAUUCCAGAACAUUUCCAUUACCAUAGAAAAAGAAACCCAAUAUUCAUUUUCAUCUCUCCUCUAUGGACUUACCUAAUCUAGAUAUACCAAAUAAAUGGAAUUUUUAUAAAAUA
rnacentral:lncRNA from 1 species